rnacentral:rRNA from 1 species
CGAACGCUGGCGGCGUGCUUAACACAUGCAAGUCGAACGGAAAGGCCCUGCUUUUGUGGGGUGCUCGAGUGGCGAACGGGUGAGUAACACGUGAGUAACCUGCCCUUGACUUUGGGAUAACUUCAGGAAACUGGGGCUAAUACCGGAUAGGAGCUCCUGCUGCAUGGUGGGGGUUGGAAAGUUUCGGCGGUUGGGGCUGGACUCGCGGCUUAUCAGCUUGUUGGUGGGGUAGUGGCUUACCAAGGCUUUGACGGGUAGCCGGCCUGAGAGGGUGACCGGCCACAUUGGGACUGAGAUACGGCCCAGACUCCUACGGGAGGCAGCAGUGGGGAAUAUUGCACAAUGGGCGGAAGCCUGAUGCAGCAACGCCGCGUGCGGGAUGACGGCCUUCGGGUUGUAAACCGCUUUCGCCUGUGACGAAGCGUGAGUGACGGUAAUGGGUAAAGAAGCACCGGCUAACUACGUG